AUGACAGGGUUCACUGGUUCCUGUAGCAGAGUGCAGAGAAGUGUGCUUGCUGCACAGGAGCAUAAGGUCACAGCCACCCCUCCUAGGCAGAAGGGAAGGAGUACUUUAAUUGAAUUGUACAAAUACCUGCUAACCUCCAGAAUAUACUCAUGAAGUACUGGCCUGCCUUCUUGAAGCCCAUGCCCAGGUAGAGAGUCACAGCACCUUGCUGCAAGGCGCUGGUCUCAAGGACAACAUCACUGUAACUCUGGUCCCUUGCAAACUGGAGGACAGUUCUGGUCAGCGCUUUCGCUAUCCCCUGUCCUCGAUGCUGUGAGGACACAGACAGGCGAAAGAGCUGCAGCUGCUUCCUCCCUAGUGGAGGAUCCUUGACUGGCUGAGCAGCCACUAUGCCCACCACCUGCCCCCCAGACUCAGCCACCCAGAAGCAGGCGCCAUGUACAUUCAGGUAAGACUUGGUGAUGUCAACCAUGUCUGUCUGCAAACAUUUGGCCACAUAUUCCUUCCAGGGCUGUCUGGCAAGGAGCCGCAGAAGUAGGAGCAGAAAGAAGAUGCAAAUAACAGCCAGGAUCCAGGAGCCAGACACCAGGACCAGGGCAAGGGGCACCCCAAGUAAGAGCAGGAGGGUUCGGGGCAGCAUAAGCAUGUGCCGAAAGGUAGAGGGAAUGUACUCCUCCAUGCCCUUGGUGAACACAUCCACGACUCUUUUAUGGUCGCUGUCCUGGUACUGUCGGAUGUGAUAAGGAACCAUGGGAGACUUCUGGGUCUCAAAUCUUGGCAUCCAGGAGAGACAGCUAUACCUGCCUUGCACACCUUCCUUGAACCCUGCAGAAGAGAGAAGCCAUUUCCCAGGCUGGCUAUCUGAAUGCAUCUGCUAAG
rnacentral:lncRNA from 1 species